rnacentral:rRNA from 1 species
GGCGACCGGCGCACGGGUGAGUAACGCGUAUGCAACCUACCAUUAACAGGGGAAUAGCCCAUAGAAAUGUGGAUUAAUAUCUCAUAGUUCUAUUAGAUCGCAUGAUUUGAUAGAUAAAGCUCCGGCGGUUACAGAUGGGCAUGCGUGACAUUAGCUAGUUGGUAAGGUAACGGCUUACCAAGGCUACGAUGUCUAGGGGUUCUGAGAGGAUGAUCCCCCACACUGGUACUGAGACACGGACCAGACUCCUACGGGAGGCAGCAGUGAGGAAUAUUGGUCAAUGGGCGCAAGCCUGAACCAGCCAUCCCGCGUGCAGGAUGACGGCCCUAUGGGUUGUAAACUGCUUUUGUACCUGAAGAAUAGGCCCAACGAGUUGGGAUUUGCCGGUAAGGUAUGAAUAAGCAUCGGCUAACUCCGUGCCAGCAGCCGCGGUAAUACGGAGGAUGCAAGCGUUAUCCGGAUUUACUGGGUUUAAAGGGUGCGUAGGCGGAUUGAUAAGUCAGUGGUGAAAGCCUGCAGCUUAACUGCAGAACUGCCAUUGAUACUGCCAGUCUGGAGUAUGGUUGAGGUAGCUGGAAUGUGUCAUGUAGCGGUGAAAUGCUUAGAGAUGACACAGAACACCGGUGGCGAAGGCGACUUUCUGGCCUAUAACUGACGCUGAGGCGCGAAAGCGUGGGGAGCAAACAGGAUUAGAUACCCUGGUAGUCCACGCCGUAAACGAUGAUCACUCGCUGUUUGCGAUACACAGCAAGCGGCCAAGCGAAAGCAUUAAGUGAGCCACCUGGGGAGUACGAUCGCAAGGUUGAAACUCAAAGGAAUUGACGGGGGCCCGCACAAGCGGAGGAACAUGUGGUUUAAUUCGAUGAUACGCGAGGAACCUUACCUGGGCUUAAACGUAUAGGGAAUUAUGCCGAAACAGUUCUUUCCUUCGGGACGAUCUACAAGGUGCUGCAUGGUUGUCGUCAGCUCGUGCCGUGAGGUGUCGGGUUAAGUCCCAUAACGAGCGCAACCCUUAUCGUUAGUUGCCAGCGGAUCAUGCCGGGGACUCUAGCGAGACUGCCGGUGACAAACCGGAGGAAGGUGGGGAUGACGUCAAAUCAGCACGGCCCUUAUGUCCAGGGCGACACACGUGCUACAAUGGCCGAUACAAAGGGCAGCUACCAGGUGACUGGAUGCGAAUCUUUAAAAUCGGUCUCAGUUCGGAUCGGAGUCUGCAACUCGACUCCGUGAAGUCGGAUUCGCUAGUAAUCGCGCAUCAGCCAUGGCGCGGUGAAUACGUUCCCGGGCCUUGUACACACCGCCCGUCAAGCCAUGGAAGUUGGGGGUGCCUGAAGUCUGUGACCGCAAGGAGCGACCUAGGGUAAAACCAAUGACUGG